rnacentral:rRNA from 1 species
AUACGGAGGAUCCGAGCGUUAUCCGGAUUUAUUGGGUUUAAAGGGUGCGCAGGCGGGAGAUUAAGUCGGCGGUGGAAAUUUUCAGGUCCACUUUAAAAAUGUCUUUGGAACUGGGUUCCCUUAGUGGAGUUGAAGGAAGGGGGAUUUUUGGUGUAGCGGGUGAAUGCAUAGAUAUCACGAGGAACUCCGAUUGCGCAGGCAGCUAACUAAACUACUACUGACGCUCAGGCACGAAGGCGUGGGGAUCAAACAGGAUUAGAUACCCUGGUAGUCCACGCAGUAAACGAUGAUUACUAGCUGUUUGCGAUACAAUGUAAGCGGCUGAGCGAAAGCGUUAAGUAAUCCACCUGGGGAGUACGUUCGCAAGAAUGAAACUCAAAGGAAUUGACGGGG